rnacentral:lncRNA from 1 species
UGGAACUGAAAUAUUAUAGAUAAUAUCACCGCAAUACAUAAGAUUUUGAACAAAUUAAUCCUAAUCCCAAAUAAAAGAAUUGGUCACUCAUGGUGUUAUUACAAGCAUGGACAACAAGAAAAGAAGAUUCAGAGUGUUUCUCUUUGACUACUGUCUCCUUUAGGGUUUCCUUCCUCCUAAUGAUAUAGCGUUCACACCUUCUAUUUAAGGUAAUUGGGCUUGGGUACAUGACAUAUUUAUUCAUUUUGCUUCAUCACUCCUUAAGCUAUUGAAAAUAACACAAAAAUUGUGAAUAAAUUGUUCUGGUUCAUCUCAUAAUCCAACGAUAUGUAAAAAGACAACAAUGUGUAAAAAUGUUCAAAUUCCUAAAUUAAAGGUUGAAUUAUAAUUAUUUUAUCAAUUAAAGUCCAUAAAUAUUUAUCCACUCUCUCACGCCUAGAAUCUUUGUCCUCAAGCAAAGUAAAUGAAAAUAUCUAAUAUCUUUAUUCUUCUAUGUAAACUCCAUGUACAAGUGUAGGAUGACUUUCUCUCUCCAAAUUAUAAACAAAUUAUCUAGAUCCACUAAUCAUGUCAUGAGAUUCUAUCAUUAUUAAAUUAAUUGCAUAUAAUUACUUAUAAUAUAGUACAAUAACAAUAAUUACGUAAAAUAAAUCUGAAUAUAACUUAUAUGUUUUUAUAUAAAAUAUUUAAAAGUCUAAUACUUUUAUUGUGUUAUAAAUUUAUUCAUUAAUAGUUAUGAUUUUCUUAUAUUAUUAUAUAUAAUUAUAUACAUAACAUAUAUAACAUAACAUAAAACAUAACAUAGCUUAUAAAAACAUAACAUAUAACAUAUAAUUGUUGAUUUCUCUCGGCAACUAUACCGAAUCAACUGUAGAGUACGAAUGUCGAACUCACAAAUAACAAUUCUAAUUAAGAUAAUUUGUUAUAAAACUCAUUAAGUAUAGAAAAUAAUGUUGAGAAUUUGUUCAUAACUAAAUUAAAUAUUUCACAAGAAACUCAGAGAUUUAGGUUUGAUUCAACCAAAACCAAAACUAACUUAUCAAAUAUAGAAAAUGAUACUUGGGAUUGAAUUUAAGUCUAUUUCAAUAAUCUGUAUUUUGGAAUAAUACAGUAUAAACGAACACUCAAAUAUUAAACAGUAAACAUCUAAAACAGAUAAUCAAAAAGAAACCGAUAAUCGAAAAGAAACAGAUAAUAAAAAAAACAGAUAAUCGAAAAGAAACAGAAAAAUAAAAAGAAACAUAUAAACGAAAAGAAAUAGAUAAACGAAACAAAACAGAUAAACGAAAAGAAACAAAUAAACGAAAGAAAGCAAGGGUGAGACCUUAGUGUCGCGAUAGUUGAUGUAGGAACGACGCGAGCGGUGGUUUCUGGUUCGGCACGGAGACGGUGAAGGACGGUGGUUUGGGGAGGUGUGAGAGGGAGAGGGUUAGGGUUGUGGCAAAGGAGAGAUGGUUGGGAGAAACGUGAGAAGAUG